UUUAGGGGUAAACGGGAGAAAUCCGAAUAUUUGAAGGAAGUGAUUCACGUAAAAUCUACAUUGUACUACAUUUGUUGAUCGAUGAUUAUAAAAUUCCUUACAUAUAUAACUUGUUUAUAUUGUAAGUGUUUCAUUUUGUAUCACGAUUCAUCAAUGUAUAUUGUUUACAAUGUGGUUUACCGCAUUUCUACCUUCCUUUUCUAUAUAAAAAAAAGCGUCGCGACCCAUUAAAUUGCAAUCUAAGAUGGCUCAAUUAGUCUUAUAGAUACAUUUAUAUUUUUUUUUUAUAAAAGUAUAUUUUGUGUUUUAUAUAGUUUUGAGCAUAAUUACAUCUGAUUGAUAAUUUGAUGGUAUCAAAUAAUAAAAGAGUUAACCCGCAUAAUUUAUAAUGCGUUUAAAUAUAAUUGGUAUAUAUCAAAUAUAUAUUAAAAUUCAAUGUGAUAUUUUAGUUAACGGUCUUUAAUGAUCCGUCUAAAAGUAAGCAUUGAUAGCAAUUAUAUUCUUAAACUAGUUGGUUAGAAUACUCUUGUCUGCGGCGUAUAUGUU
rnacentral:rRNA from 1 species